rnacentral:rRNA from 1 species
UACGAAGGGGGCUAGCGUUGCUCGGAAUCACUGGGCGUAAAGCGCACGUAGGCGGAUUGUUAAGUCGGGGGUGAAAUCCUGGAGCUCAACUCCAGAACUGCCUUUGAUACUGGCGAGCUUGAGUCCGGGAGAGGUGAGUGGAACUGCGAGUGUAGAGGUGAAAUUCGUAGAUAUUCGCAAGAACACCAGUGGCGAAGGCGGCUCACUGGACUGGUAUUGACGCUGAGGUGCGAAAGCGUGGGGAGCAAACAGG